GAUGAAGAACGUAGCGAAAUGCGAUAAGUAAUGUGAAUUGCAGAAUUCCGUGAAUCAUCGAAUCUUUGAACGCACAUUGCGCCCCCUGGUAUUCCGGGGGGCAUGCCUGUCCGAGCGUCAUUGCAACCUUCAAGCGCGGCUUGUGUGUUGGGUCUCGUCCCCCGUGGACGGGCCCGAAAGGCAGUGGCGGCGUCCCGACAUGGUGCCCGAGCGUAUGGGAAUCCUCUUCCGCUCGAAUCGGCCCAUGCGGCGCUGGUCGUAACCAAAUUUUUUACCGGUUGACCUCGGAUCAGGUAGGGAUACCUGCUGAACUUAAGCAUAUCAAUAAGCGGAGGA
rnacentral:misc_RNA from 1 species